rnacentral:lncRNA from 1 species
GUUUUUUUUUAAACAAAUAUAACUUUAUUGAGUUAUUGUGCAUUAUUCCAAUGCUGUUUUGUACAAAUUUACAAAAAAAGUUUAUUUUUUGCCAUGCAAACACGAAGAUUAACGAAUCUGUAAUUUCAUAUCAAUGCAUGAUCCUAAAACUUCUCCAGUUCUUCAUAUUUACAAGAUACCCAAUUCGCAAGGACUUAAAUAUCUAUGAACAAUUCUCAGCAUAUUCAUCAUAUUAAACCAACUUAAAAGAGGUCAAUACAAACAAGAAAUUGACGUAAAUACAAACAAUAAUAAACUACAAACGAACAAUUGAAGGAGUGGAAGGGGACGUGUUACGGUACUUAUCUAUCCCAAAUUUAUGUAUUUAGUUUGAUGUUUUAUUUGUAAUUCUCAUCGGAUUUUGUCAAAUUUGUUGACGUCUUUUCUAUUAUAUUUAUGUGUUAUGGUAAAUAAAAUUAAUCACCUCCUUCCUUUAUUAGAUUUGAUUUUGUUCAACGUAAUCUGAACGAUGUUUUACGUUUGAGGUUCAAUUCAAA